UGAAGCUCAUCUGUCCUCAGAAAAUUUCACUAACCUAUUGAUCCUGCAUGCUUUGAAACUACAGGCUAGCAUGCAACCAUUUGGCUUUUCAUCUGUGAGUGAGAUAAUGAAAUAGAUCAUCUCAAAAUUUUUAGGUGUUUUUGUGAUACCAAUACCAGCCCUGAAUAAGUCUAACUGCAGGAAACCUGAUGAAAUUCUGUGACUUGCCUAAUGGAAACUUCUGCAGGUAACACCUGCAUGAAAAUCUGGGAAAGGAGCUCAACGAAAGAGAUACCCGCACCUUUCCCCAAGAAGCCCUAUUACAAGAACCAGGAAGAAGAAAUCCUGAGAUGCUUAAUUCAAACAAGUCUGGACUCCACUAGUUAAUGAAGAUUGAUACAUUACUCUGCAAAAAUAUUUUCUGUGCCAUUAUUGAAUUUUUAAAAAGAAACAAAAAAAUCUGUCCAAGUAACAAACAUGCAGUAGGUCAAAGAAAAAGAAUGAAUAAACUAUAAUAAAUAAUAUAUAUGAUAUAAUAUAUUAUAACAAUUCAUAAUCAUGUUAAUCAAAAUUGCUUUGAACAAUAUCCCAAGUCAGUCCAAAUGUAUUUCCUCAAUAUUAAGCUAGUAGAUAAUUGAUACAUAAAACAUCAGAAAAGUAAUCAUUAAUUACCUGUCAAAUUUUUAGUAUCAUCCUAAAAUCAUCUAUGCUUUAUCUUAUUAUGCCCAAAAGUACCUGGGGAAGGACAACUAUUUCCAUCUAAUUUCAGCUCAAUUUAGUUAAUUUUAAGUGUCGAGUUCUUCUGCCUUCGUACCACAGCUGUUCCUUUUAAAGGAAAUUUUUAGGAAGAAACAAGGAUGUGGUACAAUUGGAAUGAUGAAGAAAAAACAUGUUCGAGUGAUUGAGUGAGAUAAUUAACAGAGAGCAGUAGACUUUCACUCCCUUCCACAUCAUGCCUGCGACUUUCAACAAUUCCAACAGCACCAAUCCUUUAUAGAGUAUACCCUCAGAAAUAUGAUGCACAUUUGCAAAGCAGGUAUGAUAGAAUGAUAGUUAGGUUGUUUUCCAAGAAUAAUUUGAAAUUUACAAUGAAGUUGAGUUUUAAUCCCUAAUUUUCCUUCAUCCUUUAUGAUUUUUGAAACUAUACCAAUAGGAAAAAAUAUGUUUAAU
rnacentral:lncRNA from 1 species